UUUUUUGUGAGCCCUCUUGUUGACUUCCCAUUAAUUGUGGUGUAAAUUAUAAGAGAAGAUUGGUGUGUAUUAAUAAUAAGACGCGAUUUGAUUAAAACAGAAUGUAAUGCGUUUUGCUUAAAAACGUACUUUUGUGCUGCGUGAUUAUGUGAAAAAAGCUCAUUUCACAAAAAGGGUUGAGUGUUUUCGCAUAAAACGACCUUACAGCAACAUUCUAUUUCAAUAGUUAAACGCAUUGGAAUGCGUCUUUGCUAGUAUACACAAUCAGGAAAGUCAGAGAUAACUUGAGGCAUACGGAUUGCUACUUUUUUCUGUGAUUGCUUGAAGCAGUGCUCUGUAUAACUUGUUAAUAAGGAAAGGAAGAGAUACAAAAUGGCUUCUAAAGCGAAGAAGGCAGUUAUUGAUGUAAAGAAACAGUUUGAUACCGUUGGCAAGCAAUUUGAAAUGGUUCAAAUCUUAAAUGAAAAAGGGGAAGUCGUGAGUCCAGACUUAAUGCCUGACUUAAC
rnacentral:ncRNA from 1 species